GUGGAGUGUGUGAGCCUCUUUCUAUUCUAAAGAUUUAUCGGGGGGGGUUUUACUUCUUAAGCUAGUUGCAUUUAUUUUUUGAAUGGGCUUGUGGGCACUAUUGGAGGAUUGGGAGAAAUGGUGGUCUGUGUCUCUGCACUUGAUGGUCUGUCAGGAGGGGGUAGCUGGUGAAGAGCGUUUCAAAUAUCAACUUACAGAUUACACAGGAUUCUGAAUCUCUGCACAGCAUAACUAGGCAUGACCACUUAAAGGGAGGACAUGGAGAGAAAACAGAACAGGUGGAGACCACACGACUUUCUCACAGCAGAAAAACAACUAUGACAGCAGGGAUCUCUUCUGAACCAAAGAUGCUGAGAAGGGCCUCCUCUGAAGUUCUCAAUGCAUAUGCAGGCUGAUAUAUGGAGACCUCCUUCUGCCUGUGACUACUAAUAGUUAUUGUUAUCAAAUGAGAUCUGAGAAGUCCUUGACUGAGGAUCCACCACACUUAUGGAACACUUUGUCUGAGUGCCGCCAAGAAAAUUCAUCAGCAUCCAGAUUUAUGAAAGAUUUGCACUUUUUUAACCAUGACAUUUAGGUGUACAUUUGGUGGUACAAUCUCAGUGAAAGUAAGUGUUCUCAUAAGCCGUUUCAAAUCCCCUAAUGUGUGGCUUAUUAGUAUGAGAACAAAGUAAUAACUUCCUCCCUCCCUCAAAAUACUUUGAUAUUUGCCUAUUGACAGCUUAAAUUGUGAUUGGUUGUUAGUCAGAAGAGGGAAGGAUUCCAUAUUGUUGAUCAUAUUUCCUACAGCAAUCCACCAGAAUAAGUAAAUGUAAAAUCAAAAACAUCUUCCUGAAGUAUUAAGCAUUUUAAACCUUGGAUUCCUUUCCCCCACUCUAAAGCACAUAUUAAUAAAAAUUGU